rnacentral:rRNA from 1 species
CGUGAGCAAUCUGCCUUGGAGUGGGGAAUAACGGUUGGAAACAGCCGCUAAUACCGCAUGAUACAGCUAUCCCGCAUGGGGUUGGCUGUCAAAGAUUUAUCGCUCUGAGAUGAGCUCGCGUCUGAUUAGCUUGUUGGCGGGGUAACGGCCCACCAAGGCGACGAUCAGUAGCCGGACUGAGAGGUUGGCCGGCCACAUUGGGACUGAGACACGGCCCAGACUCCUACGGGAGGCAGCAG